GCUUAGCCCUAAACUAUAAUAAUUAUAUAACAAAAUUAUUUGCCAGAGAACUACUAGCCACAGCUUAAAACUCAAAGGACUUGGCGGUACUUUAUAUCCAUCUAGAGGAGCCUGUUCUAUAAUCGAUACACCCCGCUUUACCUCACCAUCCCUUGCUAAUUCAGCCUAUAUACCGCCAUCUUCAGCAAACCCUUAAAAAGGAGUAAAAGUAAGCAAGAGAACAAUCAUAAAAACGUUAGGUCAAGGUGUAGCCAAUGAGAUGGAAAGCAAUGGGCUACAUUUUCUAUUUGAGAACAUCACGACAUCCUUUAUGAAACUAAAGGACAAAGGAGGAUUUAGUAGUAAAUUAAGAGUAGAGAGCUUAAUUGAAUAGUGCAAUGAAGUACGU
rnacentral:rRNA from 1 species